rnacentral:rRNA from 1 species
CAUGCCGCGUGUGUGAAGAAGGCUUUCGGGUUGUAAAGCACUUUCAGUGAGGAGGAAAACUCUGCGACUAAUACUCGUAGGGCUUGACGUUACUCACAGAAGAAGCACCGGCUAACUCCGUGCCAGCAACCUCGGUGACUGAGCGGGCUGGCAAGGCGCAUA